UACCUCCUUAGAAAUAUGGACAUACAGGACCACUAAUCAAAAAGACAUAAUCUGCAAAGUCGACGUAAUGAGUUCUAUAAGCCAAGACUACAUUAGGUUUACGAGAUCAUGGAGCUUCCACAAGCAAAGACAAAAGGUCAAGCUGCAGGGAGAGUUUUUUAAGCUCCUGCGAGAUCGGAUGACCAUCUAUCCUGGAGAAUGGGAUUGGUGCCGGCAGGCACUCCUGGCACGUCCCAGCUCACCCUGGCCCGGGCACCGUUGGCGUGGCUGACGGGUGGCCGCAAGCCCGGGCUCGUUCAAGGUCGGCGGCGUAAGCGCUGACCUGUCCCACCAGCUCACUGCACAGCCGGCCAGCUGGACGACUGGAUCGUGAAGACCGCUGCUCGCCGAGGCUAAUACUCCGGCUGGCUCCACGCUCCACAGGACUGGGGCAAGACCCAGACUGCGCGGACCAUCGGCUAUCUUCCCCGUCGCCUUGACCGCCGUUCUCCUCCGCGCGCGCCCUCCAAGGUGGCGUCCCUCGCACGCGCACCUCUCGCUUCUUUUUCCUCUUCCAUUUUUCUUUACCUGCAUUCCGUCAAUUUCCACUCUGGCCUUCCUCUUCUUUUUCCACUUCCCUUGGCAUCCUUGACACUCUGGCACACCUCCGCCGCGCACCUUGACCCGCAUGUUGCGACUUGCUCACCUUCAGUAAUGCGAGAAGCACUUGUGAAGUUCAGUAUGAGUGCCUAGAGUUCAUAGUGGGCACUUCGAGAUCGCGAAACGUGUGCUUUUCAUAGGCGUAUAUCUCGCUAGGGCACUCAUUGUUGGACUAGAUGGGAGACGCGACUCAGCACAAAUGAGUGAAUGUCGCAUUUGUGCUCGCGACGCUCCUGCCCUCUAGUGCGGCCAUGGGUGGCAUAGCGAGACAUACGCCUGUGAGAAGAAGCACAAGGCUUUCACAUCUGCCACGCCUGUAAUGAGUUGUUUUCAUAACCUAGUGUGGCAUUAGUGAGGCAGUCAAUACACUGCACGAGAAUGUAGCUUCCAGACAGAUCUUGCGUUCCUGCAUAGCAAUAUUUUGUAGUUUUUGUAUGGAGCGCAAUCAGUAGAAGGAUGCAGAAGGACAAAGAAACACACAGGGUGCUUUCAGUUAUUGUCCUGUGCCCUUGAGCUAGUUGCUCUGCAAAGAAGAAAAAAGAAGACUGCAAAAUAUUACACCAACAACUUACAUUUAUACGAUGACGCGUCAUAACAAACAAGAAAUUUUACGGGAGUGCGCAGGAUACUGUGGGGUAAGCAGUAACCAAAAUACCGAUGCUUAGAUAAUCAAACCUAGUUGGAGCUACGCCGUGAAGAAGCGGAAUCAAGGACAAUUAUUUGUACUCAUCCAGAUAAAAAGCUGAGUGAAUUUACCAAUAUAACCUAAUUUCCAGCAGGCCAUUAGGGUAACAUUAGCUAGUUUUUGAUUAUUGUCAUCACCAUGACGACGACAUUGAUUUAAAGAAUGAGUUGAAGUUUACCUUGUUUGCGACCAUAGACAAAUUCAACAAAAGCGAUGUCGCCACUAAGCACGACGAAUUUUUUAAUGUACAUGUCGUACCAUUAGUGCUGAUUGAUUGUCUGUUAAAAAGGCUCACAAGCCCAUUAGAACUCCUUUAACGCAAUCGCGUUAAAGAGCUCAUUUCGCAGAAAUGCCGCUGGUUGUCAGCGAAAAAUCAUCAUCUUGUCCGUUGACCGAAA